UUUUUUUUUUUUUUUGCCCCUGCAAUUAUUUCUAUCACAUGGGUCAUAACCUCUUUUACCCCUUAGGCUAAUUUGAGUUGGGUCUUUAACUCUUGCCAUUAAAACAUCCUGGUCAAGACAUUGCUUAUCAUCUAACUGAUAAUCCCUACUUUAGCUUCUGUCUUUCCCCUAGCCCUAUUCAAAUGGGGAAUGUGUCUUGCCUAUCCCUAAACCAUCAGAACUCCCAUUGACCCACAUCACAGUUAUAAUUUCAUUCAUCUAUUGGGACUUUUAUUCUGUUACAGGGAUUUUCUACCUCACUGGAUCUUCAUGUGAAGUCCUGAGGAAAAAAAGAACUAUUUAUAUUCAAUGCUGGGACUCAAACUCAUGUAUUCUGACUGCAAAUCCAGAGUUCUUUCUUUCAUAUUGUACCACAUCCCCUGGGUAGAAACAUGGCUCUAAUGUAAACUUGCACUGUUUUUUUCCCAUAGGGACUUCCUUUCUCCAACACCUGUCAGCCCAAUGGGACACAGGCCUCAUGUUUGUUUCCAUAUCUCAUAGGUUUUUGGAAGUGCUAUUGUGAAAGUGCUGUUAUGAAUGAUAAAUCAUGUGUCAGGAUGAAGCCAUAAUCAUCCCGAGUCCUCGAAUGACAACAGUGGUGGAGCUCCCCUUGCUGAUUUCCACUGACAUGUAGUAAGAAUACAUAAUGUUUUCUUCUGCCAUUGAGAUCUGGGGUUUGGCUGUAUGUCUGUAUAAGAAGGCUGUCUUAAUUGAUACACUAAUCUCAUCCUAUUACCAGUGCCUGAGCCAGUGAACUAGCCUUGGCCAAGCAAUCCACAGCAAUCUAUGGUCAAGGAAUUGGUUGAGAAAAAGGCUUGUGACUCAGUGGGUAUACCAAGAUGAGAAGAAAGUUUGGGAUUUGAGAAAAGAAGUAUUCACACCUUUAAGAGAGCCAUCAGAAGAGAUGAAUUCUCUCUCUGGAUGUUGUGUGUAAAUGUGAAGCCUGUAACUACAAGCAGUCAUCUUACUCCCAGUCUAAGGAUUAUGCCAACACAGAGGGAGGGCCAAUACUAAAGCAAUUUCAAAGAAGUGAAGCCAACGCCAUGACUGAAUCAUAACCAGUCCUUCGUUAUUCUGUCUCUGGACUUUUUCAGUUAGGAACUUGUCGAGGUACUCCAAUGUAGGCUGUGACUAAAUUGAGGAUCCUAAAGGCAUACUACUAACAAUAAAGGCUAUGAAGGAAAGAUAUCAUUAUUGCCUGGAGAUUGGGAGCAAAAACUUUCAGAGAACGUCGGAUUUGGUGUUAUUAAAAAAAAAAAAAAAACAAGAAUCAGAAUUGAAUGAGCAUGACAGACAGGGGAGCUGUAUCCUUUAAAGGUAAGGCAAUAGCAGAA